GUCGAACGGCAGCGCGGGGGCAACCCUGGCGGCGAGUGGCGAACGGGUGAGUAAUACUUCGGAACGUGCCCAGUAGCGGGGGAUAACGCAGCGUAAGUUGUGCUAAUACCGCAUACGCUCUACGGAGGAAAGAGGGGGAUCGCAAGACCUCUCACUAUUGGAGCGGCCGAAGCCUGAUUAGCUAGUUGAUGGGGUAAAAGCUCACCAAGGCGACGAUCAGUAGCUGGUUUGAGAGAACGACCAGCCACACUGGGACUGAGACACGGCCCAGACUCCUACGGGAGGCAGCAGUGGGGAAUUUUGGACAAUGGGGGCAACCCUGAUCCAGCCAUGCCGCGUGCGGGAAGAAGGCCUUCGGGUUGUAAACCGCUUUUGUUCGGGAAGAAAUUGACUGGGCUAAUACCCCGGUUAGAUGACGGUACCGGAAGAAUAAGCACCGGCUAACUACGUGCCAGCAGCCGCGGUAAUACGUAGGGUGCGAGCGUUAAUCGGAAUUACUGGGCGUAAAGCGUGCGCAGGCGGUUUCGCAAGUCAGAUGUGGAAGCCCCGGGCUCAACCUGGGAACUGCAUUUGAAACUACGAGGCUAGAGUGUGUCAGAGGGGGGUAGAAUUCCACGUGUAGCAGUGAAAUGCGUAGAGAUGUGGAGGAAUACCGAUGGCGAAGCAGCCCCCUGGGAUAACACUGACGCUCAUGCACGAAAGCGUGGGGAGCAAACAGGAUAGAUACCCUGUAGUCCACGCCCUAAACGAUGUCAACUAGUUGUCGGGGAACAAUUCCUUGGACGCAGCUAACGCGUGAAGUUGACGCCUGGGGAGUACGGCGCAAGAUUAAAACUCAAGGAAUUGACGGGGACCGCACAAGCGG
rnacentral:rRNA from 1 species